rnacentral:lncRNA from 1 species
CUCUGGAUGAGGGGUUAUAGUGGCUAGGAACAUGCUGAGGGAACCCCUUGGCUCUUGGGCCCUGCCGGGACUGCAACCAAAAUGUCUGAGUGAGUGGCUAAGCUCUGGAAAGGGAAGGGAAUGGGAGAGAAGCCACCUGUCCUAGUGUCCCCCAUCUUCUUGAUGGAAACCCCCCUGGCCUCUUACCUGUUAUCCCUCCUGUGGCCACGAUCUCAUGCUCAUGUUGUGGAAAGGGCACCAGCUCUGGAAUCAGUCCCUGGCCCUGACGACCUAUGUGCCCUCUGUGAAGCCAGGUUUAGCGUCUGUGACAUGACUGUAGUGUCUGCAUGGCAGGGUGUUGUCAGAACUGGCAACAGUUAGGUCAAGAAUCCCGCAGGUAGAAGGCUUUCACGAGACACUGGGCCCAUCCAAGGGGAGCAUCCAAUUUUACGCAGCCAUUUUUGCUUGCAAAGCACUGAUGAAUUCUCUAGGCCUUUCCUCAUUUGCUCUUCAUGACAACUUAGAGGGAGGUGGGUGGGUGUCACUAUCCUCACAGGGUACAGAGCCCCUGAGUGACUUGCCUAAAGCCACACAGCCCCUCAUGGGGACAGCCAGGUGAGCGAGCCCUGCAGGACUUCCUAAGGAGCUUGUAGAACGUCCCCCGGACCUCCUUCCUCCACUCUUCUGCUGAGGGUCCCACACACAGCCCCUCAUUCCUGGGACCCUGCUGGGUGGAAUGGUUCGGCUUCUGAGCCUCCCGCAGCCUGGGCCGUGCCCACACUCAGGCGCCUCCUCCGCAGCCCGACUAAGAGGUUUUAUAGCCGUUUACGAGCAAUUUCUGUCCAUAUAUCACCGGAGAUAUAUAGCCAGGCAAAUAUUAGGGACCCAAGUGGAGGUUUUAAGAGGCAAGUUUUACUGCUGCUGAAAGCAGGCGUGAUAGACAGCCCGCGGAGACCCACCUCCCUGCUGCUUGGUGGCCGGGCGGGGGCAGCACGGACUGGGCUUCAGCCUGGAAACCCGUCCACCAAAUCUGAGUGUGGUGUGAGGACCCUCAGAGAUUUCUGUGGGGAGUGGGGGGAGCCAGGGCCAGGCCCUAUUCUUCAGGGAGCCUGGCAAUUGGGUGUGGGGGCGGCGGGAGGAAGGAGUGACCUCUAGGAGCUCUACCUUGGCAGAACGCUCAGCGCUCCUUUGCGGAUAGACCAAGCUGCAAAUCAAGAAUUUAUUAGGAGCUGAGACUCAUUUUCCCACCCUUUAUAGCCCUGACGACUCAGAGCCAAACUCUGGCAAGGGGCUUCCUCAUGGUUUUAAUUAGACAAUUAAUUUUUUAUUGGGUCGUUUGAUUUCCGGAGCCGAUUCCACUCUCCCUCUUAUCCCCCACCUGCCUCCCAGCUGUGAACAGCCAAGGGGAGACGGGGAUUCGGGGAGGGUUGCAGAGAAAAAAGCCUCCAUCUCCCUUUGAGCUGAUUUAGGAGUCAGUGAGUGGGGAGGGGGCGGGAAGCCCUCUGCCACCAUCAGUGGUUUGAGCUCCAGAGACACUAUCCAGAGCUCAGACCUGGGCUCACAGGGCCUGCACAAAGGCAUUCUCAGCUGCCCCUCCCAAGCUUCUCCCAAGCUCUUGGGCUAAUUAGUAACACGGGGUUGGGGUUGGGGUUGGGGGAGUGGGAGGGAAGAGUGCCUGAAAUACACUGGCAGCAUUUCUGUGGUUAAUGCGAGUGGUGCUUGGAGGCUGUUUACCCUCUACCCAGGGAUUAGGAACCUGUUUGAGUUAGAAGGGCAGAGAGAGGCCAGGACUGGGCUCUGUCCCCCACCUGCUUCUAGGAGCUGGGGCGGGGGCGCUGAGCCAGCAGAAAAAAAAGAAGUGGGAGAAACCUGUCUCCAAUCUAUCUACCUUAUUGAUCUUCCUGGCGUCCAGCUGCUGGCCUGCCUUUGAAUCUUGAUCCUCUCCACUCCUGCUUUACCCCUCACCACUGCCCUUGCGGUCAAACAGGAACCUGGCUUGGAAAGGUUGGGAGGAAAGAGGGAAGGAUUGCGGGUUUCAGCAGUGAGGAGGAGCCCGGAGCUGGAAGGGUCCCGGAUACGCGUAGAUGUUCCCUCCGAGAGGGAGUGGAGGUGUCCCCUCCGGAGACUGGGGAGCCCCAGCCCCGUAUUCCACCCUGAAAGGAGAAGAAGGCUAGACUCAAGGAAGAACUUACGCAGGUUCAGUAGCAGAAAUGAGUAGCUCCCUCUUUAGCGUUUGAUGAUUCAUCAAGAUUGAUAUUUUACUGAGAGCACCGUUGCUCAGAGGCCUUAAAAUGGAAUUGUGGGGAGUGAGAGGACUAUUUCCUCAGGUGUCCUGUUGGUGGGGACAUUGUCACUUGUUGUUCCAGCAUAAGGAUUCCUGAAAGUGUGGGGACAAACACACAGGCUGACACGGUCACUCGGAACCAACCUGACAAGCAUCUGCACACACAGAAGUGGGCUCUGGGGCACGUCUGGGGCACGUCUGGGGCCAGGGCUCUGGGGCCUUCACAGAGAGAACAAGCCCCCCGAAAGAAUAAGCCAGGAUUCCACGCAAAGAGAAGGGCUGUAGUGAAC